rnacentral:lncRNA from 1 species
GGGGGAGACUAGAUACAAAACUUGAGAACAGACAAACAGAAAACACUGGUAUGACCUGACAAGACAAACUGGCAACAGACAAACAGAAAACACAGGUAUAAAUACACAGGGGAUAAUGGAGAAAACACAGGUAUAAAUACACAGGGGAUAAUGGAGAAAACACAGGUAUAAAUACACAGGAGAUCAUGGAGAAAACAGAAAACACAGGUAUAAAUACACAGGGGAUAAUGGAGAAAACAGAAAACACAGGUAUAAAUACACAGGGGAUAAUGGAUAGUGGAGAAAAGUGGGAGACACCAGGAGGGGGAGGUGGAGACAAGCACAAGACAGGUGAAACAGAUCAGCGAGUGACAAAAUACAGAGGUGAACUAUCAAUUCCCCGGAUUCCUACCGCAAACUCUGAACCCUUUUCAUCUGGAUCAUGGCAGCUACCUAACCGCAACCCGGGUUGACUACUGCUGGCUAACGUUUCCGUCCCGGAGAAAGCACCAACUAGCCUGGGGCUAGCCCAUGCUAGACCCAUCUCCUGGCUAGGGCUCCUGGGCUACUCCUGGCUAACGUUUCCGUCCCGGAGAAAGCACCAACUAGCCUGGGGCUAGCCCAUGCUAGGCCCAUCUCCUGGCUAGGGCUCCUGGGCUACUCCUGGCUAACGUUUCCGUCCCGGAGAAAGCACCAACUAGCCUGGGGCUAGCCCAUGCUAGA